UACGGGGGGGAGCAAGCGUUGUUCGGAUUUACUGGGCGUAAAGGGCGCGUAGGCGGUCAGCACAAGUCAGUUGUGAAAUCUCCGGGCUUAACUCGGAACGGUCAACUGAUACUGUGCGACUAGAGUGCAGAAGGGGCAACUGGAAUUCUCGGUGUAGCGGUGAAAUGCGUAGAUAUCGAGAGGAACACCUGCGGCGAAGGCGGGUUGCUGGGCUGACACUGACGCUGAGGCGCGAAAGCCAGGGGAGCGAACGGG
rnacentral:rRNA from 1 species